UGAGGAAUAUUGGUCAAUGGACGCAAGUCUGAACCAGCCAAGUAGCGUGCAGGAUGACGGCCCUAUGGGUUGUAAACUGCUUUUAUAUGGGAAUAAAGUGAGGACGUGUCCCUUAUUGCAUGUACCAUACGAAUAAGGACCGGCUAAUUCCGUGCCAGCAGCCGCGGUAAUACGGAAGGUCCAGGCGUUAUCCGGAUUUAUUGGGUUUAAAGGGAGCGUAGGCUGUUUGUUAAGCGUGUUGUGAAAUGUAAGAGCUCAACUUUUAGAUUGCAGCGCGAACUGGCAGACUUGAGUGCGCACAACGUAGGCGGAAUUCAUGGUGUAGCGGUGAAAUGCUUAGAUAUCAUGACGAACUCCGAUUGCGAAGGCAGCUUACGGGAGCGCAACUGACGCUAAAGCUCGAAGGUGCGGGUAUCGAACAGG
rnacentral:rRNA from 1 species